rnacentral:rRNA from 1 species
UACAGAGACUGCAAGCGUUAUUCGGAUUCACUGGGCGUAAAGGGUGCGCAGGCGGCCAAGUGUGUGAGGCGUGAAAGCCUGGGGCUUAACUCCAGAAUUGCACCUCAAACUACAUGGCUAGAGCAUUGGAGAGGGUAGCAGAAUUCACGGUGUAGCAGUGAAAUGCGUAGAUAUCGUGAGGAAUACCAGAGGCGAAGGCGGCUACCUGGACAAUUGCUGACGCUCAGGCACGAAGGCCAGGGGAGCAAACGGG